UAAGACGUACGUCCCUUGAUGAGCCACAAAUUUUGUAAAGUGGGUGCCCAUGUUAUGCUUCUUUUUGUCUUUUCUUAUUGGAGUUUGUGAUUUGGUAACAUGAUUAGAUGCAUUUUCAGCUUCUUUAUAUUUUGUUCAUUAAAGUUGAUCUGCUUUGUAUGUUAUUAUCAUCAUUGCAGGCACCAAACUGAGUGGGUUUUGAUGUGCUUUUAGUGACAUUAAAUCAAAUUAUGAGUGAAUUAGUUUGUGUAACACCCUAACCUUUAUUUGUGCAUUGUAUAUAGCAAAUUCGUAAAUACUACACAGUUUCCAAGUGUCGGUUCCAUGUUAGAACUAGUGUGGGGGCGGAAAUGUUAAGACGUAUAUAGAUUAACAUAAACGUUGGAUUUUUUUCAUGAACGUGGAGUCUCAGUCAACCAAAUACUUUGCCUACUUAUUCACCACAAAAUACCACAGAUUGCAGUUGCUAGUGGACAAAGAUGAACGAUUUUGUUCAAAAACAAAGACUGGGAAUUCCGUAAAACAGGAAACACCCUUUGAAACAAAAAAGAGGAGGAGCCCAUAGAUUAGAGAGGGUGAUAGGGUUGUAUUGAAAUCAAAGACCACAUCAUUUGAUGUGAUCAAAAUCGUGAAGGUGGAAUUUUAUCACAACAGUGAUGUGUUGUUUGAAGACAGUGGACACCAUCAGGAGUUGGGUGAGGAUACUUUUUUUCUUUCAGGACACUGCAACAAUAAUUUGUUCAACCUUUGUCUUUGUCUCUCCCCUUUUCUCUUGUGUCUUGUUGUAUUUCUGUUGGGGAAAAGGAUAAUUUAGGUUUAAAAAGAUUCUGAAAAUUUUAAUUAUCUGCAUUACAGUGUAAAUAUUGUGAGAAGAUAAAAUCUCUAACCUCAUGUUAAAUUAUUCUUAAUGAUUUAUAAAUAUGUUAUAAAAACAAUUUAAAAAAAAAAGAAAGAAAGAAGAGAGUAUUUAAUUGGAACUACACUUUUAAUAAUUUUAGAAUUUAUAAAUUUAUCAUAAAUGCACCUUUAAAAUACACUAAAAAAUAUAGGAUAUACUCGAAAUUUUUUUGCAGAAAAUAGAUGAACUUCAAAACCGACUUUUGCAUUGAUUUUAUGAUAGAUCUGUCGUGGGCUCACUGACAGCUCUGCAAGUAUGUAGAUGGCGAGCACAGGCUGGACAUGGAGUACCCUACCAAUACCAUGGGCAUUGAGC
rnacentral:lncRNA from 1 species